rnacentral:rRNA from 1 species
AACGAACGCUGGCGGCAUGCCUAACACAUGCAAGUCGAACGAGACCUUCGGGUCUAGUGGCGCACGGGUGCGUAACGCGUGGGAACCUUCCCUUAGGGUCGGAAUAACUCCCCGACAGGGGUGCUAAUACCGGAUAAUGUCUUCUGACCAAUGAUUUAUCGCCUUUGGAUGGGCCCGCGUUGGAUUAGCUAGUUGGUAGGGUAAAAGCUUACCAAGGCGACGAUCAAUAGCUGGUCUGAGAGGAUGCUCAGCCACACUGGGACUGAGACACGGCCAAGACUCCUACGGGAGGCAGCAGUGGGGAAUAUUGGAAACUGGGCGAAAGCCUGAUACAGCAAUGCCGCGUGAGUGAUGAAGGCCUUAGGGUUGUAAAGCUCUUUUAACCGGGAUGAUAAUGACAGUACCGGGAUAAUAAGCCCCGGCUAACUCCGUG